ACGACCGCAAGGUUGAAACUCAAAGGAAUUGACGGGGGCCCGCACAAGCGGUGGAGCAUGUGGUUUAAUUCGAAGCAACGCGAAGAACCUUACCAGGUCUUGACAUCCUUUGACCACUCUAGAGAUAGAGCUUUCCCUUCGGGGACAAAGUGACAGGUGGUGCAUGGUUGUCGUCAGCUCGUGUCGUGAGAUGUUGGGUUAAGUCCCGCAACGAGCGCAACCCUUAUUGUUAGUUGCCAUCAUUUAGUUGGGUACUCUAGCGAGACUGCCGGUGACAAACCGGAGGAAGGUGGGGAUGACGUCAAAUCAUCAUGCCCCUUAUGACCUGGGCUACACACGUGCUACAAUGGGAAGUACAACGAGUCGCUAGACCGCGAGGUCAUGCAAAUCUCUUAAAGCUUCUCUCAGUUCGGAUUGCAGGCUGCAACUCGCCUGCAUGAAGCCGGAAUCGCUAGUAAUCGCGGAUCAGCACGCCGCGGUGAAUACGUUCCCGGGCCUUGUACACACCGCCCGUCACACCACGAGAGUUUGUAACACCCGAAGUCGGUGAGGUAACCUUUUUGGAGCCAGCCGCCUAAGGUGGGAUAGAUGAUUGGGGUGAAGUCGUAACAAGGUAGCCGUAUCGGAAGGUGCGGCUG
rnacentral:rRNA from 1 species